rnacentral:rRNA from 1 species
GGAUCCAGACUUUGAUUAUGGCUCAGGACGAACGCUGGCGGCGUGCUUAACACAUGCAAGUCGAACGAUGAAGCCUAGCUUGCUGGGUGGAUUAGUGGCGAACGGGUGAGUAACACGUGAGUAACCUGCCCUUGACUCUGGGAUAAGCACUAGAAAUGGUGUCUAAUACCGGAUACGACCCUCGGAGGCAUCUUCAGGGGGUGGAAAGAAUUUCGGUCAAGGAUGGACUCGCGGCCUAUCAGGUAGUUGGUGAGGUAAUGGCUCACCAAGCCGACGACGGGUAGCCGGCCUGAGAGGGUGACCGGCCACACUGGGACUGAGACACGGCCCAGACUCCUACGGGAGGCAGCAGUGGGGAAUAUUGCACAAUGGGCGAAAGCCUGAUGCAGCAACGCCGCGUGAGGGACGACGGCCUUCGGGUUGUAAACCUCUUUUAGUAGGGAAGAAGCGAAAGUGACGGUACCUGCAGAAAAAGCACCGGCUAACUACGUGCCAGCAGCCGCGGUAAUACGUAGGGUGCAAGCGUUGUCCGGAAUUAUUGGGCGUAAAGAGCUCGUAGGCGGUUUGUCGCGUCUGCUGUGAAAUCCGGAGGCUCAACCUCCGGCCUGCAGUGGGUACGGGCAGACUAGAGUGCGGUAGGGGAGAUUGGAAUUCCUGGUGUAGCGGUGGAAUGCGCAGAUAUCAGGAGGAACACCAAUGGCGAAGGCAGAUCUCUGGGCCGUAACUGACGCUGAGGAGCGAAAGCAUGGGGAGCGAACAGGAUUAGAUACCCUGGUAGUCCAUGCCGUAAACGUUGGGAACUAGAUGUAGGGGCCAUUCCACGGUUUCUGUGUCGCAGCUAACGCAUUAAGUUCCCCGCCUGGGGAGUACGGCCGCAAGGCUAAAACUCAAAGGAAUUGACGGGGGCCCGCACAAGCGGCGGAGCAUGCGGAUUAAUUCGAUGCAACGCGAAGAACCUUACCAAGGCUUGACAUAUACCGGAAACCUGCAGAAAUGUAGGCCCCGCAAGGUCGGUAUACAGGUGGUGCAUGGUUGUCGUCAGCUCGUGUCGUGAGAUGUUGGGUUAAGUCCCGCAACGAGCGCAACCC